AACGUAGGGGGCGAGCGUUGUCCGGAAUUACUGGGCGUAAAGGGCGCGUAGGCGGAUCUGUAAGUCAGAGGUGAAAUCCUGCGGCUUAACCGUAGAACUGCCUUUGAUACUGCAGAUCUUGAGUUCGAAAGAGAGUAGCGGAAUUCCUGGUGUAGCAGUGAAAUGCGUAGAGAUCAGGAGGAACACCGAUGGCGAAGGCAGCCCCCUGGGCCUGUACUGACGCUCAUGCACGAAAGCGUGGGGAGCAAACAGG
rnacentral:rRNA from 1 species